rnacentral:rRNA from 1 species
UUACCUACGGGGCGCAGCAGUAGGGAAUCUUCCACAAUGGGGGAAACCCUGAUGCAGCGACGCCGCGUGAGUGAGGAAGUAUUUCGGUAUGUAAAGCUCUAUCAGCAGGGAAGAAAAUGACGGUACCUGACUAAGAAGCCCCGGCUAACUACGUGCCAGCAGCCGCGGUAAUACGGAGGAUGCGAGCGUUAUCCGGAUUUAUUGGGUUUAAAGGGUGCGUAGGCGGGCUGUUAAGUUAGCGGUAAAAGACCGGGGCUCAACCCCGGAGAGUGGUUGAAAAUGGCUGUCUUGAGAU